rnacentral:lncRNA from 1 species
AUGCAACUUAGGGACAGAACACCACCACCACCACCUAGAGGAGGCAGGUGCUGCUUGCUUCCCCUUUUGGUCCUGCUUACAAGUAUGAACCCUGCUACUAAUAUGAACCCAGCAGUUCCUGGAAGAGGGUCCCUGCUCACUUCAGGUCUUCUUAGUCAAAGUGCCUUCACAUCUCUCCGAACGUCAGCUUCCCUAAAUGAAAAAGGUUUGAGAGUGUCACUUUACCGUGCUAUCUCAAUCUGUCCUCAGCCUGUCACAGGCCCAGGCAUAGAAUGCUGGUCUAGGGGCGCUUUUCUUCUGGGAGCUGGCGGGUUCGACACACAGAGCCCUGGCCCCAAGACCCUCAGUGCCCGCGAUGAUUCUGGGUCUUGCCGUAUCGUGGACUACAACUCCCAGCAUACUCCAGCCCCGCCCUCAUCCUGCCAGGUCUCGCGUGAAGUGACGCCGCCUCGGGAGAGUUUAUCAGGGAGGCUGCCGGCGGCUGGUAUCCUGUUCUCCCUCCCAGGUUGGCGUCUGGGACCUUCUGUGUCGUUACAGGCACAGCGCCGCUCACACCAUGGCUUGGAUCCGGACUGCGCAACAACCUUUCGAGAGACGUGGGUCUUUGGAGCCUCUUUAGUCCCAGGCCGCAGGCAGCUCCGCGGCGGCGGCGGACGGAAAGUAUCUCUUUUUAGGUUGUUAUGGCAAAGACAUGAAACACAGGGAGAUGUUUGGCAGACUCUGCAGGGCUGUGCCAACGCUGGUUGUUUGUUGUUCUCAGAACCUCUGGGAUGGAUGGACUCUUCCUGAGCAGCUUUGCUAAUUUGCAGCAGCUGGACGAUGUUCCUCAUUAAUACCUGCCUGUAGGCAUAAUCGUCACAUCAUCUCUCUCUGGUGGCGGGGAACUCAGCUCAAAGUCUGUGUAGGAAAAGCGCCUGGAUCCCAGUCUUUCAAUGGCUUCGAGACAACCAGAAGUGCCUGCUCUUGAGCCUAGUGGGCCUCUAGGCAAGAUGUCCCUGCCCAUCGGGAUGUACCGCCGGGCAUUCAGCUAUGAUGAUGCCCUCGAGGACCCUACGCCCAUGACUCCUCCUCCAUCGGACAUGGGCAGCAUCCCUUGGAAGCCAGUGAUUCCAGAGCGCAAGUAUCAGGACCUCGCCAAGGUGGAGGAGGGAGAGCCCAGCGUCUCCCCGCCUGCCCCGGCCCCGCCGCCGGCCACUGACAGUGCAGAGAAGGCCCCUGUGGUGAAGGCCAAAGCGACCCAUGUCAUCAUGAGCUCUUUGAUCACAAAACAGACCCAGGAGAGCAUUCAGCGUUUUGAGCAACAGGCAGGGCUGCGAGAUGCUGGCUACACCCCCCACAAGGGCCUUACCACUGAGGAGACCAAGUAUCUUCGAGUGGCGGAAGCACUCCACAAACUAAAGCUCCAGAGUGGAGAGACAGCAAGAGAGGAGAGGCAGCCGGCGUCCACGCAGUCCACCCCGAGCAGCAGCCCCCAGGCCUCCCCUAAGCAGAAGAGCAGAGGCUGGUUCACUUCUGGUUCUGCCACAGCCUUACCUGGCCCCAGCCUUAGCACCAUGGAUUCUGGAAGCGGGGAUAAAGACAGAAGCUCGGCCGAUAAAUGGAGCCUCUUUGGACCAAGAUCCCUCCAGAAGUCUGAGUCAGGAGGCUUUGCCAUCCAAGCCUACAAAGGAGCCCAGAAACCUUCUCCAAUGGAAGUGAUGCGCGCACAAGCCACCCGAAGGGCGGAGGAGCCAGCAACGUUCAAGCCGCCCAAGAUGGAUAUCCCAGUUAUGGAAGGGACGAAACAGCUGCCACGGGCCCACAGCCUCAAACCCCGGGACUUGAAUGUUCUCACACCCACUGGCUUCUAGAGCUUUCUGUCCUGGGGACUCUGCAUCAAGGGUAUCGAGCCCAGCUCCCUUUACCUUGGCUCUGACAUAGGAAAAGUUUUGUCUUUGUGAAAUCAAACUGAGGCUAGAUGGAGACAUAAUUGGUUUUUGCGAAACAUUAGUGCAAAGCUUGUCCUUGUGUGGAAAAGCCGUUUUGUAUUGCUUUAACGUUAGACUAAACUUGAGCAGUGGUAUAUGGGGACCUCCCCAAAACUUGGACCACUGCUUACUAGGUGACUGUCUGCGUUGUUCCAAAACCAAGGCUUCAGGAUUCCUUCACCGUGUCCAGGUGCGCAUGGGGACCAUGGCGUGGGGAUGUCCGCGGACUAAUACAGGUGACUUCGGCCCUCACAGCUGUGCUGGCGCCGGUCUGGUCAGUCAGGGAACCCAAGGCCUGCUUGAGAUCUGGGUACAGCUAGGAGCCAGCCCCGGCAGGGACCCCCGGUUUGUGCUGGCACCGGCGUCUCCUCACGUCCUGGGGGACCUCGUGGGCCCCUGUGUCCCACAGCCAGCCCUUGCUGUGGUACCUCUGGGGCCUGUGCUGUGGGAGGGGUGCUUCUCUUCUGCGUGUCACAGAACAAACACUAGUCUUAACACAGCCUUUGUUGCACUGUAAAGUGACAUUAAUUUAGCUUCCAUUUGGUUGAAAACUUCCUAAAGGAGAAAAUUCAGUCUACUGGCUUGCUAUAGAUAAAUGGAUGUUAAACUUUUUAAAAGAGGUGGCAACUGCAGUUCGAAUAUAGUCUGGAGGUUCAUGUGAAACUAGUGUCACUCUAUUUUGAUUUUCUUGUUCAGGCUAGGGCUUGAAAAUGUUUUUCCUGGGAGGCAGGAGAAUUAAAAAAUUUCUGUAUGCAAUCAUUUUCCCCUCAAAUGAGCCUCCUACCUCUGUACACAUACCUCGCUGAGGAGAGGAACCGGGGAGGCCACUCUCAUUUCUCUUCACUGCACACGUGCAGCCACCGUCUUGAGCGCUGUCUCCCGUCCCUGCUGUCUUUUGCUUUGGACGGUAUUGUGUCUACACAAGGAGUCGAGCUGACCUUCCCCCAGAGACCCUGGAGUCUCAAAUGAUCAGAAUUAAUUUAUUCGUGUCUUCCGUUAUGCUUGUAUCUCUUACUUGUUUUGACAAUAAAAAUCCUUACUACUUUCUC